rnacentral:rRNA from 1 species
GUACACUCCUACGGGAGGCAGCAGUGGGGAAUUUUGGACAAUGGGCGAAAGCCUGAUCCAGCAAUGCCGCGUGAGUGAAGAAGGCCUUCGGGUUGUAAAGCUCUUUUGUCAGGGAAGAAACGGUGAGAGCUAAUAUCUUUUGCUAAUGACGGUACCUGAAGAAUAAGCACCGGCUAACUACGUGCCAGCAGCCGCGGUAAUACGUAGGGUGCAAGCGUUAAUCGGAAUUACUGGGCGUAAAGCGUGCGCAGGCGGUUUUGUAAGUCUGAUGUGAAAUCCCCGGGCUCAACCUGGGAAUUGCAUUGGAGACUGCAAGGCUAGAAUCUGGCAGAGGGGGGUAGAAUUCCACGUGUAGCAGUGAAGUGCGUAGAUAUGUGGAGGAACACCGAUGGCGAAGGCAGCCCCCUGGGUCAAGAUUGACGCUCAUGCACGAAAGCGUGGGGAGCAAACAGGAUUAGAUACCCCAGUAGUCCCAUGAU